UGAACGCUGGCGGCAUGCCUAACACAUGCAAGUCGAACGCGAAAGCACCUUCGGGUGUGAGUAGAGUGGCGGACGGGUGAGUAAUACUUGGGAAUCUGCCUAGUAGUGGGGGAUAACUCGGGGAAACUCGAGCUAAUACCGCAUACGCCCUACGGGGGAAAGAUUUAUCGCUAUUAGAUGAGCCCAAGUCAGAUUAGCUAGUUGGUAGGGUAAUGGCCUACCAAGGCGACGAUCUGUAGCUGGUCUGAGAGGACGAACAGCCACACUGGGACUGAGACACGGCCCAGACUCCUACGGGAGGCAGCAGUGGGGAAUAUUGGACAAUGGGCGAAAGCCUGAUCCAGCAAUGCCGCGUGUGUGAAGAAGGCCUGCGGGUUGUAAAGCACUUUCAGUUGGGAAGAUUAUGACGUUACCAACAGAAGAAGCACCGGCUAACUCC
rnacentral:rRNA from 1 species